UGGGUAUGCGCCACUGUGGUAAUGGACUCUGGAACAGAUGGGAUCUGCGGGAUCCUGGUCCAGCUUGGGGUAGGGUGGGGAGGGGAGGUUCUCUGAGGAAGGAAGGCCUUCUCUGAGGAUUUUAGUGUUGCAGCUCUUGUAGGUGAUACUCAAUGAAACAGCUCUCUUAGAGAAUCUUCAGUAAAAUAGCUGCUGUGCAUACACUGUAUACAAGGGCUACAUAUGAACCUUGGAGAGUGGAGAUUUCUGGGUGAAUAUAAAAGGCGAUGGCUGAAGCUUAAGUCCUGUGAAUGCCUCAUUUGUCUGGAGAUGCGUUCCGAGAAUCUCAGAUUUGAAUUUGCCCUUUGAAUCCUUGGUGGCAUAUGGUGGAAUUGUGGCUAGCAGGUAGGAGCCUAGCAUAACUGUCUCCUGAGAGGCUCCGUCCAGUGGAUGGAAACAGAUGUAGAGACCCACAGCUGAAUCGCAGGCAGAGCUCGGGGAGUCUUGUGGAAGAGUGGGAGGAAGGACAGCACAAGAAGACCUGCAGAGUCAACUAACCUGGGCCCAUGGGGGCUUACAGAGACUGAGCCAAACAAAGAGCAUGCAUGGACUGGACAUAGGUCCCCUACACAUAUGCAGGAGAUAUGCAGCUUGGUCUUCAUGUGGGUCUUUUGUAACAACUGGAGUGGGGCCAGUCUCUGACUCUGUUGUCUGCCUUUCCAUCCCUUUCCCCUAGCUAGGCUGCCUUUCCUGGCCUCAGUGGGAGAGGAUGUGUUUAGUCCUGAUUCGACCUGAAGUGCAAAGAGGGGUUGGUAACCAAGGGGACGGGCCUUCCUUUCUCUGGGGAGGAGGGGAAGAGGCAAUGGGGAAAGGGGCAUGGGAGGAUAGGGGGGAGGGAAGCUUCAAUCAGGAUGUAAAGUGAAUAAAUAAAUUAAAAGAGAGUAAUUGUAGUUUGAAUAUUGAUAUCCAAUGCUUUUGGGUGUUUUAUUUUUAUGUAUUUUCAUAAGAGUAGCAUUGCUAGCCCAUCUCUUUUCCCCACCCCCCCAAAGGUUUACUGUUUCAUGUUAAAUGUUACAGAGUUCUGGAACUGUCAGAACCAUGCCUGAGAACCCAAAGAAAGAAAUGGUGUAACGGACAGUCCCAUCCACCUAGACUCGAUUCGUAUGCAUUUUGAUAAUUUCACAAUCUUAAAAAAAUUAUGACAAGACUUGGAAUUUACAUCUGUUGCAGGUCUUCAGUGUUCCAGUACAGUGUGCCAGUAAACAAACCUCAUCAUGCCUCUCUUCACGUCUUAAACCAUAACCCCAAACAGAAUGUGUGUAUGUGUCUAGCUGGAGUAAAGCAUACUUUAAGGGGAGUUUGUGGCUCAAGGUGUGAGAUUACUUGUUAAGGUUUCUGGUGCCCAAAUGAAGUCUUCAGUUCAAUUAAGAAUCUCAAGCUGCC
rnacentral:lncRNA from 1 species